ensembl:lncRNA novel transcript
CCUGUUAUGUUCAAGGUGCCCUCCAGGGUGGAGGUAAGGCCGAGGACAGGGAGGGGCACCCCAACGGUCGGCCCCCACCCGGGCUCCUGGAGCCAACGCGCUGGGGCUGCCCUGGCUGUGAGGACCCCCACCCCUGCCCUGGCUGCCUUCUUCCUGUCCUCGAAAGCCGGAGACCCGCAGGGAGCCCCGGAGCCGUCAGUCACGGAGGGGAAAUGAGUCCCCACUCGGGAUGGGCCACCCCUUUCCAGCCGGACGACUCCUCCCCACCAGCCCUGAUCACCCCCGAAGCACCCGUCGGCUCCACUGAGGUCUCCCCACAUGCUCCACCGGCGCUCAGCACACAGCAGGUGCCUAAUAAAUGUCAAGUGCCUGCAUGCCCUUGA